rnacentral:rRNA from 1 species
CUCGUACUCCCCGAAAUAUAUUUAGGUAUAGCGUCUGGUUUUGUCUGUCCGGAGGUAGAGCACUGAUUAGGCUAGGGCCCUUCACCGGGUACCAACCCUAGACAAACUCCGAAUGCCGGCACAGAGCCACCAGGCAGUCAGUGGCAGGGUGAUAACGUCCUGUCGCGAGAGGGAAACAACCCAGACCACCAGCUAAGGUCCCUAAAUGAUGGCUAAGUUGAUCAAAGAAAGUUGAGUUGCUCAGACAACUAGGAGGUUGGCUUAGAAGCAGC